AACGAACGCUGGCGGCAUGCCUAACACAUGCAAGUCGAACGAUCCCUUCGGGGAUAGUGGCGCACGGGUGCGUAACGCGUGGGAACCUGCCCUUAGGUUCGGAAUACCUCAGAGAAAUUUGAGCUAAUACCGGAUAAUUUCUUCGGACCAAAGAUUUAUCGCCUUUGGAUGGGCCCGGGUUGGAUUAGCGAGUUGGUGGGGUAAAGGCCUACCAAGGCGACGAUCCAUAGCUGGGAUGAGGGGAUGGUCAGCCACACUGGGACUGAGACACGGCCCAGACUCCGACGGGAGGCAGCAGUGGGGAAUAUGGGACAAUGGGCGAAAGCCGAAGCCAGCAAGGCCGCGUAAGUGAUGAAGGCCUUAGGAUUGUAAAGCUCUUUUACCCGGGAUGAUAAGGACAGAACCGAGAGAAUAAGCCCCGGCUAAUUCCGG
rnacentral:rRNA from 1 species